GAUGAACGCUGGCGGCGUGCCUAAUACAUGCAAGUCGAGCGAACAGACGAGGAGCUUGCUCCUCUGACGUUAGCGGCGGACGGGUGAGUAACACGUGGAUAACCUACCUAUAAGACUGGGAUAACUUCGGGAAACCGGAGCUAAUACCGGAUAAUAUAUUGAACCGCAUGGUUCAAUAGUGAAAGACGGUUUUGCUGUCACUUAUAGAUGGAUCCGCGCCGCAUUAGCUAGUUGGUAAGGUAACGGCUUACCAAGGCAACGAUGCGUAGCCGACCUGAGAGGGUGAUCGGCCGCACUGGAACGGAGACACGGUCCAGACGCCUACGGGAGGCAGCAGUAGGGAAUCUUCCGCAAUGGGCGAAAGCCUGACGGAGCAACGCCGCGUGAGUGAUGAAGGUCUUCGGAUCGUAAAACUCUGUUAUUAGGGAAGAACAAAUGUGUAAGUAACUAUGCACGUCUUGACGGUACCUAAUCAGAAAGCCACGGCUAACUACGUG
rnacentral:rRNA from 1 species